rnacentral:rRNA from 1 species
AUUGAACGCUGGCGGCAGGCCUAACACAUGCAAGUCGAGCGAGCGGCGGACGGGUGAGUAAUGUAUGGGGACUGCCCGAUAGAGGGGGAUAACUACUGGAAACGGUAGCUAAUACCGCAUACUAUCGGAUAACCCAUAUGGGAUUAGCUAGUAGGUGAGGUAAUGGCUCACCUAGGCGACGAUCCCUAGCUGGUCUGAGAGGAUGAUCAGCCACACGGGGACUGAGAAACGGCCCAGACUAAUACGGAGGCAGAAGUGGGGAAUAUUGGAGAAUGGGCGCAAGCCGGAUGCAGCCAGGCCGCGUGUAUGAAGAAGGCCCUAGGGUUGGAAAGUACUUUCAGUCGGGAGGCGUUACCGACAGAGGAAGCACCGGCUAACUCCGUGCCAGCAGCCGCGGUAAUAC